GCUCAGAUUGAACGGCUGGCGGCAGGCCUAACACAUGCAAGUCGAGCGGAAACGAGUUGUCUGAACCUUCGGGGAACGAUAUCGACGUCGAGCGGCGGAGGGUGAGUAUUGCCUGGGAAAUUGCCCUGAUGUGGGGGAUAACCAUUGGAAACGAUGGCUAAUACCGCAUAAUAGCUUCGGCUCAAAGAGGGGGACCUUCGGGCCUCUCGCGUCAGGAUAUGCCCAGGUGGGAUUAGCUAGUUGGUGAGGUAAUGGCUCACCAAGGCGACGAUCCCUAGCUGGUCUGAGAGGAUGAUCAGCCACACUGGAACUGAGACACGGUCCAGACUCCUACGGGAGGCAGCAGUGGGGAAUAUUGCACAAUGGGCGCAAGCCUGAUGCAGCCAUGCCGCGUGUAUGAAGAAGGCCUUCGGGUUGUAAAGUACUUUCAGCAGUGAGGAAGGUGGUAGUGUUAAUAGCACUAUCAUUUGACGUUAGCUGCAGAAGAAGCACCGGCUAACUCCGUGCCAGCAGCCGCGGUAAUACGGAGGGUGCGAGCGUUAAUCGGAAUUACUGGGCGUAAAGCGCAUGCAGGUGGUUUGUUAAGUCAGAUGUGAAACCCGGGGCUCAACCUCGGAAUAGCAUUUGAAACUGGCAGACUAGAGUACUGUAGAGGGGGGUAGAAUUUCAGGUGUAGCGGGUGAAAUGCGUAGAGAUCUGAAGGAAUACCGGUGGCGAAGGCGGCCCGCUGGACAGAUACUGACACUCAGAUGCGAAAGCGAGGGGAGCAAACAGGAUUAGAUACCGUGGUAGUCCACGCCGUUAAACGAUGUCUACG
rnacentral:rRNA from 1 species